rnacentral:rRNA from 1 species
GUAGGUGGCAAGCGUUGUCCGGAAUUAUUGGGCGUAAAGCGCGCGCAGGCGGUUCUUUAAGUCUGAUGUGAAAGCCCACGGCUCAACCGUGGAGGGUCAUUGGAAACUGGAGAACUUGAGUACAGAAGAGGAAAGCGGAAUUCCACGUGUAGCGGUGAAAUGCGUAGAGAUGUGGAGGAACACCAGUGGCGAAGGCGGCUUUCUGGUCUGUAACUGACGCUGAGGCGCGGAAGCGUGGGGAGCAAACAGGGAUUAGAUACCCUGGUAGUCCACGCCGUAAACGAUGAGUGCUAAGUGUUAGGGGGUUUCCGCCCCCUUAGUGCUGCAGCUAACGCAUUAAGCACUCCGCCUGGGGAGUACGGCCGCAAGGCUG